CCCUUAGAUGUCCUGGGCCGCACGCGCGCUACGCUGACAUGUUCAACAAGCCUCCUAGUUCGACAGGAUUUGGGAAAUCUUUGAACGCAUGUCGUGAUAGGGAUAGAUCAUUGCAAUUAUUGAUCUUGAACGAGGAAUCCCUAGUAAACGCGAGUCAUCAGCUCGCAUUGAUUACGUCCCUGCCCUUUGUACACACCGCCCGUCGCACCUACCGAUUGAAUGUUUCGGUGAAGAUUCCGGAUAGGACUUUUUUGAUUUAUUUCAAUUUUGUCUUAAAAGCUAUCUAAACCUCAACAUUUAGAGGAAGGUGAAGUCGUAACA
rnacentral:rRNA from 1 species